GGGCCAACCCUGAAACCAAAGCAAUGCCGGGUGAAUUAUUAAAGCCCUUAAGGGUCCGAAAAAUUCUUUUCCCCCAGAGGAUGAUAAAUGACCAGUUCCCGGUAAAAAAAACCCCCGGCUUAACUACGAAACCAGAAUCCCCGUUAAUACCGAAGGGGGUUUAACGUUUUUCGGAAAUUACUGGGCGUAAAGCGCACGUAGGCGGAUCCGAAAAGUAUAGGGGUGAAAUCCCCCGGCUCAACCCCUGGAACUGCCUUGUAAACUCCUGGUCUUGAGUUCGAAAGAGGUGAAGCGAAAUUCCGAGUGUAGAGGUGAAAUUUCGUAGAUAUUUCGGAGGAACACCAGUUGGCGAAGGCGGCUUACUGGCUCGAUAAUGACGCUUAGGUGCGAAAAGUUUGGGGAGCAAACAUGAUUAGAUACCCUGGUAGUCCACUCCGUAAACGAUGAAUGCCAGACGUCAGCAAGAAUGCUUCUUGGUGUCACGACUUACGGGUUAAGCAUUUCGACCUGGGGAGUACGGUCGCAAGAUUAAAACUCAAAGGAAAUGACGGGGGGCCGCACAAACGGUGGAGCAUGUGGUUUAAUUCGAAGCAACGCGCAGAAACUUAACAAACCCUGACAUCCUUGGAACGCUAGAGAGAUCUAGCUUUCUCGCAAGAGGGCAAGUUACAGCUGCUGCAUUGCUGUCGACAGCUCGCGACAUGAGAUGUUCGGUUAAAUCCCGCAAUGAGUGCCACCCCCAUCCUUAGUUAGCCGCACGUCCGUUGUGCACUCUAGGGAAACUCUCCCUGAUAAACGAGAAGAAAGGUGUGUAUGACUUCAAGUGCUCCUGGGCCUCACGGGUUGGGCGAUACACAUGGUACAAUGGGUACAACAAUGGGUUAAUACCCAAAAAAUGUCUCAGUUCGGGUUGGGGUUUGCAUAUCGCUCCCACGAAAUUGGGAAUAUAUUGUAAUAGGGUAAAAGCACGGCGCGGGGAAUAAGGUUACGGGCCUUUUACAAAACGCCCCUCACCUCUUGGGAG
rnacentral:rRNA from 1 species